GACGAACGCUGGCGGCGUGCUUAACACAUGCAAGUCGAACGGGCCUUGUCCCCUUUUUUUUUGGGGGUGGGGUUAGUGGCGAACGGGUGAGUAACACGUGAGUAACCUGCCCCUCACUUCUGGAUAGCCGCUUGAAAGGGUGGCUAAUACGGGGUGUUCUGGCCUGCUCGCAUGGGUGGGUUUGGAAAGAUUCGACCGGUUUUGGUUGUUUUGGUGGGGGAUGGGCUCGCGGCCUAUCAGCUUGUUGGUGGGGUGAUGGCCUGCCAAGGCUUUGACGGGUAGCCGGCCUGAGAGGGUGGGCGGUCACACUGGGACUGAGACACGGCCCAGACUCCUACGGGAGGCAGCAGUGGGGAAUAUUGCACAAUGGGCGUAAGCCUGAUGCAGCGACGCCGCGUGAGGGAUGGAGGCCUUCGGGUUGUGAACCUCUUUCGCCAGUGAAGAAGGUCCUGCUCUUUGUGGUGGGGUUGACGGUAGCUGGGUUAAUGAAGCGCCGGCUAACUACGUG
rnacentral:rRNA from 1 species